GACGAACGCUGGCGGCGUGCUUAACACAUGCAAGUCGAACGGAAAGGCCCUGCUUGCAGGGUACUCGAGUUGCGAACGGGUGAGUAACACGUGGGUGAUCUGCCCUGCACUUCGAGAUAAGCCUGUGCAACUGGGCCUAAUACCGGAUAUGUCCUUCCAUGUAGUGUGGGGGGUGGAAAGAUUUAUCGGUGUGGGUUGGGCCCGCAGGCUAUCGGCUUGUUGGUGGGGUAAUGGCCUACCAAGGCGCCGACGGGUAGCCGGCCUGGGAGGGUGGACGGCCACAUUGGGACUGCGAUAGGCACCAGAAUCGUAUGGGACGCAGCAGUGGGGAAUAUUGCGCAAUGGGCGGAAGCGUUAUGCAGCGACGCCGCGUGGGUGAUGACGGGCUUCGGGUUAAAAACCUCUUUCGACAGGGACGAAGCUUCGGUGACGGUACCUGUAGAAGAAGCACCGGCUAACUACGUG
rnacentral:rRNA from 1 species